CAACCCUCAAGCUCUGCUUGGUAUUGGGUGCCACCUACAUGGUGCAUCUUAAAAUCAGUGGCAGUGCCAUUUGGCUUCCAAGUGUAGUAAUAUUUCUUGCUUUGGAAGUUUGGAUGUAUGCUUGCCAACAACCCUCUAAUCUACGAAA
rnacentral:misc_RNA from 1 species